UAUGCGAUUUUUCGAUAUUAUUUGCCUAGUGAACGAAGAGGCCUCAAAAUCAACGGCUGAAAAUAAAAAUAUUACAAAACGUGAUAAUAUGACAUUAAAAUUUUAGAUCAAAGAUAUUGAUCUUGUUUUAUAUAGUAUAAAGAAUUUUCUAUCAAAAUUUCACGUGAUUUGGAUAUUUCUACACCGUUAAACUUGCAAACGGCUCACUACGGCUAUUAAAAUUAUUGAUUUUGAGCCCCUUCGAUCACUAGGCAAAUGAUAUCGAAAAAUCAUAAAAUUUAUUUUCUAGGUACUUCAAAUACUCUAGAUCAAGUUUAACGGAGCCGAUCGACGAUUCAAAAGUCGCAACAUCGAAAAAGACCUGGAAGCCCGGAAGGCUCUAUACUUCCAGAAGCAUCGUAGCCUCACACUAUAUAUAUAGGCUAGAAUAUUGUUAAUAGCACCAAGCUAUUGGUGCUAUUAAUUUUUUAACCCUUAAAUUGAGAAAUAUACUUUUGAGAUGAUGUGGGCCUCCUAGCAGCCGGAUAUAUAUAUAUAUAGUCCGGCUGGGAUACUAUCAAUAACACUAAAUACUUGGUGCUACUGAGUUUUUUACUGUUAGAUUUAACCAUUUGACUAGUUUCACCUAUUGGAUUAUAAUCUCUCUACCUGUUUGUUUUUUUUUUUUUUUUUUUUUUUUUUUUUUUUUUUUU
rnacentral:lncRNA from 1 species